rnacentral:rRNA from 1 species
CCUACGGGUGGCAGCAGUAGGGAAUUUUCGUCAAUGGGCGCAAGCCUGAACGAGCGAUGCCGCGUGAGUGAAGAAGGCCCUCGGGUCGUAAAGCUCUGUUGCGGGGGAAAAAAGGCAGCACCAGGAAAUGGGUGCUGACAGAUGGUGCACCGCCAGAAUGUCACGGCUUAAUACGGGCCAGCAACCGCGGUAAUACGUAGGUGGCGAGCGUUAUCCGGAAUGAAUGGGCGUAAAGGGUGCGCAGGCGGUCCUGUAAGUCUGGAGUGAAACGGAUGAGCGCAACUCAUGCAGGGCUGUGGAAACUGGAGGACUGGAGAGGAGGAGAGGGCGGUGGAACGCGAUGUGUAGCGGUAAAAUGCGUAGAUAUAUGGAAGAACACCAGUGGCGAAGGCAGCCGCCUGGCGUGUUACUGACGCUGAGGCACGAAAGCGUGGGGAGCAAACAGGAUUAGAUACCCGUGUAGUC